UCGUCUAACUGUGAGAGAGAGAGAGAGAGAGAGAGAGAGAGAUAAGCGUAAUAACACUGCAAUUACAACUCCGCCAUUUUGCCUACCACCCACCACCAUCAACAAGUCUUACCGUCGCCGCUGUUCUCCAACGCAAUCCUCCGCCACACAAACUUUUUCCAUUCCCUCAAUCACAACUAGACGCUCCAAUGUUGUUUUCAAGCUUCAGGUUUCUUUAUUCUUCUUUAUUAAAUCACUCAAAUUCACGUUCACCCUUACCGUUAUGAUUUUACUCUCACUUUAGAUCCAUUCCCAAUGAUUUUGAAGUUGAUAAUGUUGUUUUGGCAUUCAAUUGCAUGCUCCGAAUGCGUCAUACUACAACCAUUGUUGAAUUCACAAGGAUUUUAUCUUCCAUUGUUAAGACCAAGAACCACUACACCACUGUUCUUUCUCUUUCAAGACAAAUGGAAUUUAACGGAAUUAUUCCAGAUUUACUUAUGUUAAACAUCUCGAUUAAUUGUUACUGCCACUUACAUCAAAUGAAUUUUGCGUUUUCUGUAAAUACCAAGAUUUUCAAGAUUGGUUAUCUCCCGACCACUGUAACCUUGACUACUCUUAUCAAUGGUUUGUGUCUUAAUGGUAAGGUACAGGAAGCUCUUAACUUUCACGACCAUGUGAUUGCACGUGGAUUUCGUUUGAAUGAAGUUAGUUACGGGACUUUGAUUAAUGGGUUGUGUAAAAUGGGAGAAACAAGAGCCGCCUUGCAGAUGUUGAAACGAAUUGAAGGGAAAUUGGUUGACACCAAUGUGGUAAUGUAUAGCACAGUCAUUGAUCGUCUGUGCAAAGAUAAAUGUGUGUAAAUGAUACAUGAGUUAUAUUCUGAAAUGAUUACAAAGAGAAUUUCUCCUGCUCUUUAACUUUCAAUUCUCUAAUCCAUGGAUUUUGCAUUGUUGGUCAAUUCAAAGAAGCAUUUGGUUUGUUCCGUGAAAUGGUAUUGAAAAACAUCAACCCAGAUAUUUAUACUUUUAGCAUAUUGGUUGAUGUUCUAUGUAAGGAAUGAAAGAUCAAAGAAGCUAAAAAUGUGAUAGCUGUGAUGAUGAAAGAAGGCGUGGAACCUACUAUUGUUACAUAUAGUUCAUUAAUGGACGGGUAUUGCCUGGUUAUUGAAGUGAAUAAGGCAAAGCAUGUAUUCAACAUCAUAUGAAAAAUGAAAGUGAUACCUAUUGUUAACAGCUACAAUAUCAUUAUUAAUGGAUUAUGUAAGAUUAAAAUUGUUGAUGAAGCCUUGAAUCUCUUCACAGAAAUGCAUUGCAAACCCAAUACAGUAACUUACAACUCUCUUAUUGAUUUGUUGUGCAAAUCGGAUAGAGUUUCCGAUGCUUGGAAGCUUCUUGAUCAGAUGCAUGAUAGAGGCCAACGUCCCAAUGUAAUCACUUAUACUUCCUUAUUACAUGCUUUAUGUAAAAACCAUCAUGUUGACAAGGCCAUUGGUCAACAAUUUAAAAGUCCAAGGCAUUCAACCAGAUAUACAGAUAUUCAAUACACUUAUUGAUGGAUUAUGCAAACAAAGAAGGCUUAAGGACGCACAACUGAUUUUUCAGGAUCUUUUGACUAAAGGCUACAAUGUAACAACCUGGACAUAUAAUAUUAUUAUCAAUGGUCUUUGUUUAGAGGGCUUAUUUGAUGAAGCUAUGAACCCCUGCUGUCAAAAAUGGAAGACAAUGGUUGCAUUCCGGAAUUUGUAAAUUAUCAAACGAUUAUUCACGCUUAUUUGAAAAGGAUGAGAAUGAAAAGGCGGAGAAACUUCUUCGUGAAAUGAUUGUUAGAGGUCUAUUGUAAGAGUUACUCUAGGAUUUGGUAUCUAAGGGGACUUGUUAUCUUUAGCAGUAAAGAAAGACAUUGUCUGGAUUACAGCCCUAGCUGUCCAAUGAGCUUAGAGGUAAAUGUUGCCUCUCUUCUGCUGCUCAAUGUCGACCCUAGAAUUUUUCACAAUUUCCAUCAAAUUGUUAUUAUCAACUUACGACGGAUAUUCAAUUAGGUAAUCGUUACCUCUCUUGCUACUGUAUUCUGUCAAAUCAUUUUCAUGCCUCUUACAAUGGAUGUUUGAUUCACAUCAUAAUGCUUGUUUGGGUAGUUUUGGCUUGGCCAGACAACUAGAGCUUGAGCCUGGCACAUGGAAAGCCAAUUUAGGUUGGCUGGAAGUAUUGGUGGCAUAGUUGACUGUUUUCUGUCAAUAGCUUCCAGAAUCAUUUCUGCUUCCAAAUCCAAUAUUUGUUUAGGCUUUUUGGUAAUUGUGGAAAAGAUGAUGCUUUUAAAGAUAGUUAUAAACAUUGGUGAUAGAAUCAUCUAGUAUUUUGCUUCGUAUCUUCUGGUUUUAUGGUAUUUAUAAUGGAUAUAGCUGAUAUGGCUGAUUUCUUUUGGCUUUUGGUGAUCACAGCCUUAACACAAAUGAGUAAUGAUACAUAGCUGGGAGAUACUCCAAGAGAUUGGACUUGCUGACAUUGCUUAAGGUCUCCACUUCUGUUUGUUACAUAUUCUGUCAGCGUCUUAGUACAUUUCCAAUUCUAUUUUCCUAUGUCCUUUUUAGUUUUUAGCUAUGAAGCACGGACGUGGCGGGAAUCUGGCGUGUCACCGUGUCCGGCGCAGUUCCGACUCGGACGCGCGUGCGACACUGGUACGAUUCGCGUCAGAUGCGGCUUCAGCCGUAUCCAACAAAAAAAAUCUAUUUGGUUGGACACGAAUGCGACUCUGCUCUAGUGUAAAAUAUAUAUAGCCAUGUCUGUGUCCUGCGUUUUUCUAGAUUACCCGUGUCCCCUGUCCAUGUCUGAGUCUGUGCUUCAUAGGUUUUUAGCUUCCACCUUUUCUGCUAGCGUCUUAGCACUGAGGUGUAGCUACUUGUCAAUAGGUACAGCAUGAUGAAUGAAAUGGCAGAAAAAAAUUAAAUCUGAUUUUUUUUUUAACUUGUACACUUUAUUGCUUACUUUCCCUUGAGCUUGAUUCUUUCUCACAAAGCGUCGUAUUAAAGAAAAACAUAUUUUCAUUAGUUAAACUAUCUUGCUAUUUGUUCAAAACAACAUUCUCUUUCUUUUUUACUAUUUGUGUGAAUUUGUUACUUUUUUAUAUGUUCAAAUGAUUGAAUCAUUCUUAAUUUUAAAUAUUUUGUUUUCAUUAACAUUUAAGUAAUGAGGUUGCUGGGAAAGGUUCAUUCCACCAUUACACAUUGCACUAGUUUUUUUUUUUUUAAGGAUGGAUCAUAAUCAACAACCACCUCACUCUAUGCAUCUAAAUAGACACUACAAUCAAGUUAAUAUUUAAGACCUUAAACCCUUUAACCAACUAUAUUCCAUAUAGACAUUAGUCACAGUCAUACCUAAUUUUUUUUCUUCUUUAUUUCUUUGGCUGCUCCAUUUAUUAUUACAAUAAGCUCUUCAAAGGGAUACAAGAAGCAUUUAUUAAUCCCUACUGUUGGCAUUGAACCAAUGCUCAAUAUUCAAAAUUAUUGGAAUUUAAACGUGAGUGAUUAGUCCCAUAUUGAUUAUCAAUGAGUUAAAAAUAUAUUAUAUGAGAGGUGACAUAUACUCAAUAACUUUAAGUUAUCGGUGAAUAUGUGGUCUCUAGAUCUCUUAUCGAUGCUGAUCAUUAGCUCAUUGUUGCUCACGAUAUUCUCUUAAAUUCUCUAUCAAGUGGUAUCAAUUAUCAAAGCUUUGGUUCGGCUUGACGGGGGAGCGAGAGUAGAUGUGGGUGUAACGGAAUCUUGUAUAAGUCUAUUUUGUGGUAUCAAAGCUUUGUGUUCAAUUGAUUUGAAUUUGUCUUACCUCGAUAAUGAAAGAGGUGAAUGGAACAAAAAAAAAAUGAGAGAUAUCUUUAUACCCAAAAGUUUAAGGUUUUUGAAAGAGAUGUGGUGUUCAAUUCUCUUAGAUAUCUGAUCAUUUGCCUGUUGUUGUUUCCGUGAAACCGGACUCCUCUAACAAAAAUGUAUAUUUGUUCAUUGAGUUGGAACGCAACUCUUAGAUAUUUUAACUCAAAAUUAUUGAAAAUUAUAAAACAAAAAUGAAAACUGACAACUUAAUUAAGACUGCAAUGUAUGUUUAAUAUUAGCCUAGCUAUUUUUCAUGUGACCUUAUAGCAUAUUUAAUAUGGCUUAUAUAUACAGAACCAAGAAUAUGAAUAUAAGCAUAACUGUUUUUAUAUAACCAAACUGCCCCCUUUUUCUAUAAAGGGGGAUGGCAUUUUCCUUUCUGAUAGGGCUUCAAUGAUGUUGAAUGAUGAAGAAUCAGUGACAGUGAUUAAUUCAGACAAAAUGUUUGGCAGAAUUGCCUUAAAUUGCAUAUGCCAAGUGGUCCAUCUCUCUGACAAAAUGUGUAAAAUAAUAAACCAAUGAAGCAGCCAUGUGCCCUUGCUCUUAAUAAGGGAAAAACAUGUGAUGUGAGAUUCUGUGUAGUCAAAUACUAAAUGAGACUUGAGUGGAGGAAAAAACAAAAGUAAUAUAAAGAUUUGGAGACUAAUUUUUUUUCUUUCGCACUGGUUUCCGACUCAUCAAUUGUGGACGACUAAUCCGGCUCGUGCGUAGAGGCAUGCACACUGGCCAAGCGUUGUUCCCCCUGGAAAUCGAACCCAGUAUUCCCCAGAUUAGAAGGUUGAGCAACAUGUAUUCUGAGCUGAAGGAAGAAGAACAAAGAAAAUUUGGUGCAACUUGCUUCUUCAUUGGCAAUUAGUCUUACAUGUUAUAAGAAUGGAAAUAUAAUUUUCAAUUCUGGUGUUACCUGCUAUGGUGGGUCUUAUUAGAGAUUCUUUUAUGACACUUUGUUUGCAUUGUAUUUUUUGUCAAAUAGUUAAUGUCCAUACAAAAAAAAUAGUUUUGUC